UACGAAGGGGGCUAGCGUUGCUCGGAAUCAUUGGGCGUAAAGCGAACGUAGGCGGCUAUGUAAGUCGGGUGUGAAAGCCCUCGACUCAACCGAGGAAGUGCAUUCGAAACUGCAUGGCUUGAGUAUCGGAGAGGAUAGCGGAAUUCCCGGUGUAGAGGUGAAAUUCGUAGAUAUCGGGAGGAACACCAGUGGCGAAGGCGGCUAUCUGGACGAAUACUGACGCUGAAGUUCGAAAGCGUGGGGAGCAAACAGG
rnacentral:rRNA from 1 species